rnacentral:rRNA from 3 species
GAACGCUGGCGGCGUGCUUAACACAUGCAAGUCGAACGAUGAAGCCCAGCUUGCUGGGUGGAUUAGUGGCGAACGGGUGAGUAACACGUGAGUAACCUGCCCCCGACUCUGGGAUAAGCCCGGGAAACUGGGUCUAAUACCGGAUAUUACCUUUGACCGCAUGGUUGUUGGUGGAAAGAUUUAUCGGUGGGGGAUGGACUCGCGGCCUAUCAGCUUGUUGGUGAGGUAAUGGCUCACCAAGGCGACGACGGGUAGCCGGCCUGAGAGGGUGACCGGCCACACUGGGACUGAGACACGGCCCAGACUCCUACGGGAGGCAGCAGUGGGGAAUAUUGCACAAUGGGCGAAAGCCUGAUGCAGCGACGCCGCGUGAGGGAUGACGGCCUUCGGGUUGUAAACCUCUUUCAGUAGGGAAGAAGCGAAAGUGACGGUACCUGCAGAAGAAGCGCCGGCUAACUACGUGCCAGCAGCCGCGGUAAUACGUAGGGCGCAAGCGUUAUCCGGAUUUAUUGGGCGUAAAGAGCUCGUAGGCGGUUUGUCGCGUCUGCCGUGAAAGUCCGAGGCUCAACCUCGGAUCUGCGGUGGGUACGGGCAGACUAGAGUGAUGUAGGGGAGACUGGAAUUCCUGGUGUAGCGGUGAAAUGCGCAGAUAUCAGGAGGAACACCGAUGGCGAAGGCAGGUCUCUGGGCAUUUACUGACGCUGAGGAGCGAAAGCAUGGGGAGCGAACAGGAUUAGAUACCCUGGUAGUCCAUGCCGUAAACGUUGGGCACUAGGUGUGGGGGACAUUCCACGUUUUCCGCGCCGUAGCUAACGCAUUAAGUGCCCCGCCUGGGGAGUACGGCCGCAAGGCUAAAACUCAAAGGAAUUGACGGGGGCCCGCACAAGCGGCGGAGCAUGCGGAUUAAUUCGAUGCAACGCGAAGAACCUUACCAAGGCUUGACAUGUGCCAGACCGCCUCAGAGAUGGGGUUUCCCUUCGGGGCUGGUUCACAGGUGGUGCAUGGUUGUCGUCAGCUCGUGUCGUGAGAUGUUGGGUUAAGUCCCGCAACGAGCGCAACCCUCGUUCCAUGUUGCCAGCACGUAAAGGUGGGGACUCAUGGGAGACUGCCGGGGUCAACUCGGAGGAAGGUGGGGAUGACGUCAAAUCAUCAUGCCCCUUAUGUCUUGGGCUUCACGCAUGCUACAAUGGCCGGUACAAUGGGUUGCGAUACUGUGAGGUGGAGCUAAUCCCUAAAAGCCGGUCUCAGUUCGGAUUGGGGUCUGCAACUCGACCCCAUGAAGUCGGAGUCGCUAGUAAUCGCAGAUCAGCAACGCUGCGGUGAAUACGUUCCCGGGCCUUGUACACACCGCCCGUCAAGUCACGAAAGUUGGUAACACCCGAAGCCGAUGGCCUAACCACCUUGUGUGGGGGGAGUCGUCGAAGGUGGGACUGGCGAUUGGGACUAAGUCGU